rnacentral:rRNA from 1 species
AGAGUUUGAUCAUGGCUCAGAUUGAACGCUGGCGGCAGGCCUAACACAUGCAAGUCGAACGGUAACAGGAAGCAGCUUGCUGCUUCGCUGACGAGUGGCGGACGGGUGAGUAAUGUCUGGGAAGCUGCCUGAUGGAGGGGGAUAACUACUGGAAACGGUAGCUAAUACCGCAUAAUGUCGCAAGACCAAAGAGGGGGACCUUCGGGCCUCUUGCCAUCGGAUGUGCCCAGAUGGGAUUAGCUUGUUGGUGGGGUAACGGCUCACCAAGGCGACGAUCCCUAGCUGGUCUGAGAGGAUGACCAGCCACACUGGAACUGAGACACGGUCCAGACUCCUACGGGAGGCAGCAGUGGGGAAUAUUGCACAAUGGGCGCAAGCCUGAUGCAGCCAUGCCGCGUGUAUGAAGAAGGCCUUCGGGUUGUAAAGUACUUUCAGCGGGGAGGAAGGGAGUAAAGUUAAUACCUUUGCUCAUUGACGUUACCCGCAGAAGAAGCACCGGCUAACUCCGUGCCAGCAGCCGCGGUAAUACGGAGGGUGCAAGCGUUAAUCGGAAUUACUGGGCGUAAAGCGCACGUAGGCGGUUUGUUAAGUCAGAAGUGAAAUCCCCGGGCUCAACCUGGGAACUGCAUCUGAUACUGGCAAGCUUGAGUCUCGUAGAGGGGGGUAGAAUUCCAGGUGUAGCGGUGAAAUGCGUAGAGAUCUGGAGGAAUACCGGUGGCGAAGGCGGCCCCCUGGACGAAGACUGACGCUCAGGUGCGAAAGCGUGGGGAGCAAAACAGGAUUAGAUACCCUGGUAGUCCACGCCGUAAACGAUGUCGACUUGGAGGUUGUGCCCUUGAGGCGUGGCUUCCGGAGCUAACGCGUUAAGUCGACCGCCUGGGGAGUACGGCCGCAAAGUUAAAACUCAAAUGAAUUGACGGGGGCCCGCACAAGCGGUGGAGCAUGUGGUUUAAUUCGAUGCAACGCGAAGAACCUUACCUGGUCUUGACAUCCACGGAAGUUUUCAGAGAUGAGAAUGUGCCUUCGGGAACCGUGAGACAGGUGCUGCAUGGCUGUCGUCAGCUCGUGUUGUGAAAUGUUGGGUUAAGUCCCGCAACGAGCGCAACCCUUAUCCUUUGUUGCCAGCGGUCCGGCCGGGAACUCAAAGGAGACUGCCAGUGAUAGACUGGAGGAAGGUGGGGAUGACGUCAAGUCAUCAUGGCCCUUACGACCAGGGCUACACACGUGCUACAAUGGCGCAUACAAAGAGAAGCGACCUCGCGAGAGCAAGCGGACCUCAUAAAGUGCGUCGUAGUCCGGAUUGGAGUCUGCAACUCGACUCCAUGAAGUCGGAAUCGCUAGUAAUCGUGGAUCAGAAUGCCACGGUGAAUACGUUCCCGGGCCUUGUACACACCGCCCGUCACACCAUGGGAGUGGGUUGCAAAAGAAGUAGGUAGCUUAACCUUCGGGAGGGCGCUUACCACUUUGUGAUUCAUGACUGGGGUGAAGUCGAAACAAGGUA